rnacentral:tRNA from 1 species
CAAAAAGUAGUUUAAUAAAAAUAAUAACUUUGGGAGUUAUUGAUCAGUGUUUACUGCUUUUUGA